CACUCCUACGGGAGGCAGCAGUGGGGAAUUUUGGACAAUGGGCGAAAGCCUGAUCCAGCAAUGCCGCGUGAGUGAAGAAGGCCUUCGGGUUGUAAAGCUCUUUUGUCAGGGAAGAAACGGUGAGAGCUAAUAUCUCUUGCUAAUGACGGUACCUGAAGAAUAAGCACCGGCUAACUACGUGCCAGCAGCCGCGGUAAUACGUAGGGUGCAAGCGUUAAUCGGAAUUACUGGGCGUAAAGCGUGCGCAGGCGGUUUUGUAAGUCUGAUGUGAAAUCCCCGGGCUCAACCUGGGAAUUGCAUUGGAGACUGCAAGGCUAGAAUCUGGCAGAGGGGGGUAGAAUUCCACGUGUAGCAGUGAAAUGCGUAGAUAUGUGGAGGAACACCGAUGGCGAAGGCAGCCCCCUGGGUCAAGAUUGACGCUCAUGCACGAAAGCGUGGGGAGCAAACAGGAUUAGAUACCCGUGUAGUCCCA
rnacentral:rRNA from 1 species